GCUAGUAAUCACGUGAAAUGUCUAAGACGCUGUAUAGACAGUGGAGUUAGUUUCUGUACCUCUCUCGCUACUCAACUAACCAAAUAUUUAUAAAAGUCGUUUUUUUCUGUUAUUAUUUUACGAGCCUCGACCAGCCUCUUCAGGUGAUAACGCAUCAGAUGACCCGUCGGUAGUAAAAUCGUAACCGAAUGAUAUUGCAUGUUUUGUGGGCCUGCCUGUUAACGUUAGCUAGCAUCAGCAUGUUUGUGGAGGCUUAAACACAGCAAGCAAUGGACCUGUCCGCUCGCUAGCUAUCUAAAUCAACUGUAAGUGAUACGAACAGAAAGCCUGCUGAAGAGGGCCAAAGUCAGACUGACUAGAUUUCAACAUUCUGCAAACUGAAAGAUUAAGGGGAUGUCAAGCACAGCCAUGAAGAAAAAGGUGUUGCUGAUGGGCAAGAGUGGGUCUGGGAAGACGAGCAUGAGAUCGAUCAUCUUUGCCAACUACAUAGCCCGAGACACACGCCGCCUUGGAGCCACGAUUGAUGUGGAGCACUCCCAUGUGCGAUUCCUUGGCAAUCUGGUUUUGAACUUGUGGGACUGUGGAGGACAAGACACUUUCAUGGAGAACUACUUUACCAGCCAGAGAGACAACAUAUUCAGGAACGUGGAGGUACUGAUCUAUGUGUUCGAUGUGGAGAGCCGUGAGCUAGAGAAGGACAUGCAUUAUUACCAGUCCUGUCUGGAGGCGAUCCUACAGAACUCCCCCGACGCCAAGGUCUUCUGCCUGGUGCACAAAAUGGAUCUGGUUCAGGAGGACCAGAGAGACCUGAUCUUUAAGGAGCGUGAAGAGGACCUGAGGCGUCUGUCCAGGCCAUUGGCUUGCACCUGCUUCAGAACAUCAAUCUGGGAUGAAACACUGUACAAGGCAUGGUCCAGUAUUGUUUACCAGCUGAUCCCCAAUGUACAGCAACUGGAGACAAACCUGCGUAACUUUGCCCAGAUCAUUGAGGCAGACGAAGUGCUUCUGUUUGAGAGAGCCACUUUUCUGGUAAUCUCUCACUACCAGUGCAAAGAGCAGCGUGAUGCUCACCGCUUUGAGAAGAUCAGCAACAUCAUCAAACAGUUCAAGCUCAGUUGUAGUACUUUGGUGUUUGCAGUAAACUGGCAGCCUCCUUCCAGAGCAUGGAGGUGAGGAACUCCAACUUUGCGGCCUUCAUUGACGUCUUCACCUCUAAUACAUAUGUUAUGGUGAUCAUGUCGGACCCCUCCAUACCCUCUGCAGCCACACUCAUUAACAUCCGCAACGCCAGGAAACACUUUGAGAAGCUGGAGCGUCUGGAUGGACCAAAGCACAGCCUGACCAUGCGUAUGCGCUAAGCACUGCAUCUGGACCAGGGGGUGCCAGCCAGCUGAACCAAUCAGUCCACAGACAGCUAACUACAGGCUGUGGUCCAGCCUUGACCAACGCAUAUGAGCAGCCCUGCACUGUGCUACCCUGUCUCACUCAAUCACAUGUUUUUCCUACAGAAGAUUCUGUUUUCCUUUAAGUCAAAUCUUUGUUGAUCUCAUGUAUCAUGAACUGUGAUGCUUUUCUCAGACAUGUCAGAUUAAAAAAAAAUCUAUAUAGAAAAAUCUAUUAAAUGCUCAUAUUUUACUGUUAGGGGAUACCAAUGCUGUCUUGGUCUGUCACAGUCACUGUAAAUGAUAAGCACAGUAUGUUGAUUAAAAAAGGAGCCUCAGAAAUGAUUUUCUGCUUUGCAUAGUCAAGUGACUAUCUUUACAAUGAUCUGCUGUUGUCAAGGCUAGUGUUACGUUACUAUGUGGAUGUGAUGAGUGCUACCUCACCAUGCCAUCUCAUGUAAAGGCUUUGACGCUGAAUUCUAUGAAUCAGGGCUCUAAAACCCUGUUCCUGGUGAGCUAUGGUCCUGUAGGUUUUCACCCCAAACCCUAAUAUAGCACACCUGUUUCUAACAAUUAGCUGGUUGAUAAUCUGAACCAGAUUAGUAACAAAUGGGGUUGGAGGAAAAACCUACAGAAGGGUAGUGCUCCAGGAACAUGGUUUGAGACCUGUCAUCAAUGCUUUGAGGUGAUGGAAACGUGGGGGGUGGGAUAUGGGUGUGAGCUCAACAAAUACAGUAUCUCACACACUGUUGAACACUGGAAAACACAUUUUGUGAAGACUUUAAACCUGGAAUAGUGCAUUCAUGCAUAAAUAAAACAUAUUUAGAAAUAA